rnacentral:lncRNA from 1 species
CAGCUGCACUUUUAAURGGGACUUGUGGCAAUUCAGAAAAAUGUGCUAAGCUGUCCGAGAUAUCCCGUUUGGAGACUUACCCAGAUGUGCAUCUCGUGCUGGCUUCAUGGUCAGAGGAUGUUCAUGAUUUUCCCAUGUCCUGCUACAUGGCUCUUGAGGACGCCACCAGCUCCUGUCUCUGAGGGUUUCCUGCCCCGGGAAUUUCCUCUGCUGCCUGCUGUGCAAUAUGGGAGGCUACUCGUAAUUCUGCAUGCUACUUUGGAAGGGCUUGGAUUUUCAGAUGGUGCAAUUCUGAUCGCUCACAGCAUGACAUUCAGGUCACCAAGUCACAUGCCGUUUUUGGAAAUCUUGUUCAAAUAUAAGGAGAGAAAUAAAGGAUGUUAUUGUAUUAGCUACAGAUCUAAUUGUUACUCAUUGGUAGUGAAGCCCUGAUUGAAUUUGCAGACCGUGAGCAAUGAAAUGGUUCUAAAUCCUUUUAUGCUGUAACACAUUGUUUAUAUAUGGCACGUACGUUGCAAAAAAACUACCUGUCUUAAGGCUUUAAAACCAUUUUUUAUCCCAUGGGAUUUUGUAACCCAUUGCCUGGAAAAUCAAGAGUCUAAAUAUGCAGGGCUGAGAAUGGGAAAUUUAUCAAAUUAUUAAAUUAUAUUAUGAAAUUAAUGACCGUAAAAAGGAUCUCAAAUGACUUAAAAUCAUGUGUGUGAUGUUUUAUACAUAAAGUGCAUGCAUAUACUUAUUUUUAUAUAAUACAUAGAAAAUAAAUGCCAUACUUUCRAAGCCUGGUUUCUAGCU